UGCAAAUGAACGUGCGUUGGCACCGCGUGCUCACUGGGAGCACGUUUCGCCGCUCAGGUCGGGGUCUGCCGUUAUCAGCCAGCCUGUGAGACCAUGUGCGAUGUGUGCCGGGCACCUGGCCACGGCUGAUCCCACUCCUCCAGAGCUCUGUUUGUUUUGGGAGCUGUGCUACCUCUGACCAGCGGAUAAACCCUGAGCUGUGUAUUUUGAAUGUCAGAAGCACUUUGUGGGACCUGUGAAAUGGAUUUGAAUCAGGGCUUAUAUGCUAGAGGCUUCUGCUUAGUGUCACGGCGCAACAUAAACACGGGCAGAUCUCGCAAACCCGUGAUUUCGGAUUCGGAAAUUAGACCCGAAUGGAAGAACGAGGGAAUUCUAUCACAACACACGACCUUCCUGCUUCUAUAAGCGGCCAAUUGAAGCGAGAGGGGGCGAAGAGUAUUGAGGAAACUCACGGCCAGAAAAUGGAAAUGAGGUAUUGGACUUGGCAAAAAAAGAGUCAAAUUUAACUGCCUGAGAAUUUUCCUUGCAGAGGAAUGUGACAGACUGGAGCUGGAGUUCCCAUGGCUUCGGUGCGAGGUAUGUAUGAGGAAUGGUGCUCAUUCCAAUCCGACUGUUUGCUCUGUGCCCGCAUAAGUGGGUUCAUCUUUGAGCAGAAGCCACUAGCGCAGAUAGAAGGUUGGAAAUCUGGAGGCUACAAACUGAACAGGGUGUCCCCUACCUUUUGCCCCAACUAGCUGGGUUGGCUAUCAUUGACCAUCAAUGAGUGUUGAAGUGUAGUGGGGGACAACUCAGCCGCAACAAGAAGAGAAGUUUGGAUUGUUACCCAUGCUGCUACAUGAGACGUUCCAGGGUGAAAAGUGCCCUUAAGACGCCUGGUUGAUCCAGUGAGUUUCGAUUUCUAACCCCUAGUCACUUCUGAUGGAGUGAUCUGCGACCUGUAAAGCGCAUGUUCGAACCAAGGCUUGCAUCGAUCUGUUGGCAAGUCAUUGAGUCGACAGUUACCUCUUUGGGUUGCUACACUUCCCAAGUGAUACAUGUUGACUUUGGAACGAUGAGAUACGAGAUGAAGACCUUUUCUGUGCUGAUAUCUAGAGAGUGAAGACCAGACUCGAGCCUCAAGACUGCGGCAUGGUAAAUUCCCAAACAGGGUUUAAGUCUAGGUCCUAGGAAGUCUGCGACUUGAAUGGGGAAAGAUCUUUGGAAAUUUCCAGCCAGCAAAGAUGGAUUACAAGUGGAUCACACUUCUGAGCCAGUUAUCAUUUUGUCCCCUUCAGUUUAUGACUGAAGACAGCUGACCUAUGGCGACCAGACUAUUGAACACCUUCCACUGGUGUUCCACUAUCAAUCACCUGAAGGCUCUGGAAAGAACGGUCACCUGGCCUUGAACCGAGGGCUAGAACAGUGAGACAUAUCCAUAACAGUCUCAGGUGUUCCGUGGUGAGGUAGUUCCAGUAAAAAGGGUUGAGACUUACUGUUUUCCGGCGGACCAUUAAUCAUGUUGAACUUGUAAAUCUCUUUGGCGUAGUACUCGGUCUCUGUGUUAUCCUGUCCGCAGCUCUGCUGCCGGUCCCGUCCCAGCUCCUCGAUCAGCUCCUUGGUGCUGUUGUAGAGAGCCAGAACCUGAUACGGCACCUGACUCGGACCCGUGGUCUGAGGCGGACUGGUCAGCCGCAGCUUGCUGAGGAUCUGUCCCCGCACUGCCUCCACUCUCUUCUUCUUGAUGUGGUCGAUGUCCACGGUGGUGCAGGUGGACAGUGACAGAGUCAUUGUUACACAAGUGGAGAGCAGCAAAAACAAAAGUGCGUUGCCCAGAUUCAUAUUUCACCCUCGAUGCUUGUCAAGCACUAAACGGAAGAACACUUAGAUCCACUGGCUUCUCCUCUCAUUUAGGUUGUGAGUGUAUUCUGUCCCUGGAGGAUUCCCAUUUUUCUCAAGUGCUAUGUCAUCUUUGUCAACUGUGCAGGACAACAAAUCCGUGCCAUCUCUGAAAACAAUCUGGAGCCUUCAGCAGAAAUCUUCCUCUUCAUUCCCACAUUCAAGCAUCUCUCUCUACAGGACACCAGACAGUGCGCCGGCUUUCUGCGUCUCCAUUGCUCUUUCAUCCACUUGUGCUCAGAGUCAGUGCGUCUCCCUGUCUGCCUCCCUCUCUCUGCUGUCUCCCUUCACUCCAGGACUCUCACACACUCCACAGAAACCCCACUCCCACCUCUGCUUUAUACUCUCACACUGUGACGCUACUGAAGGAGGGGCGGCUGACUGGAGCCCCUGUUUGGACUGUGAUCUGCUUUUGCAAAUUCCUUAGAUAGUUUCUCUAUCUAUCUAUCUAUCUAUCUAUCUAUCUAUCUAUCUAUCUAUCUAUCUAUCUAUCUGUCUAUCUGUCUAUCUGUCUGUCUGUCUGUCUGUCUGUCUGUCUGUCUGUCUGUCUGUCCAUUGAUAAUCUAUCUGUCCAUCCAUCCAUCCAUCCAUGACUGCUGAUAGUGUAAGUAGAUGCAAGUGUGCACGAGUGGCCCCCCGCCUCUUACGCCAUGUGGGGAUUGGCCCUUGUCGUCACUCAUCCUGGGAAUGUGAAUGAAUGUAAUAUAAUAUAAAUAUACGCUUCUUUAUCAUUCUCGCCAAGAUAUGGUGGAAUGUCCCAUUUUGUGAGUGAGUUCAGGGAUAAAGUUGGGGGCCGUUUCAGACCCCCAUUUGACUUGGUUACUUCAAUGUAUUGUUAAGAAUUGAUUUUGAUACGGCAUGAUUAUAUGUGCCAUUUUUUUUUUAUCACAAAAGAAAUACAAUAGUAGCAACACGAAUGAUAUGAAAAUAAGCGACUGCUUGAAUGGUUGUGUUCGUUUUCUUUUGAAAUAGUGAUCCAGAGAGAAAAGAAAUAGAAUCAGAAUACGACCGUUGAUGCGCUUGAAAUUUCAACCAAAAACUCAUACAACACUGACACCUUGUGGUGAAAAUUGUUAUUAUUUAAGUAACAGACGUCCAAGAAAACAUUUGCCUUUAGACACCAAGAAUUAGUGAUCUCACUUUCGGAGCUUUUCACUCAAAUAGUGCGUUGUUUAUUCAAGGAAUGUAAUUGGAAAAGGUGCCGGUUUUUAUUUUCCGCAGCAGUGCAUCAAAUGUUAUUUGUGUUAUUUGUAAGCAACAACCGUGAUAUUUAAAUAGCUCAGACAUGGUUUUUGGUGCGGUUAUAGGUGUCCCUUCACUGUAUUUACAUGUUUUAGCUGUUCGACUUGCUUGCCUCUAGGACUUCCGGUUUCCAUGGUGACCGUCGCUAUGGGACGCUUCUGGGUAUCCAGGAGAGCAUUAGCCACAGCGGCUAACGGAGAAGCAUGGACGACGGCUUCCAGCUGGGCGAGUCUGGCGUCGUUAGAAAUGUUGCAAAAUCCGGACGGAGAGCUCGGCUCACUGCAGACCAGCCUUUGUUCGAGGAGUCUCGUCACACCAGGAAGUCGUCCACCUCUGCAGGAGAAGGCCCCCCUCCUAAACCCGCGCGCAGACAGGGCGGCUGGGCGGAGGACAGCUCGGCGUCUGGCUCUGCCAAGUCUUCAAGACGACCCGCCGCAGAUGACCUGGAAGACCGCCGGCUGCGACCGCAAACCCCCCCGGGAUCAGAUGAUGAAGGAGAUAUCCCGGUGAUUCCAGAUCUGGAAGAGGUCCAGGAGGAAGACCUCACCAUGCAAGUGGCAGAGCCCCCCAGUGUCCAGGUGAACCGGGUCAUGACCUACAGAGACCUGGACAAUGACCUGAAGUACUACUCUGCUUUCCAAACGCUGGAUGGAGAGAUCGACCUGAAGUUGCUCACCAAGGUUCUUGCUCCGGAGCACGAAGUGAAGGAGGUGAGUGUUUUUAUUCUUAGUAAACCGACUCCUCCUGGCUAAAGCCGCUCCAGCUGUUUCCUGGACCCUGAGGGGGGCAGACGCUCCGACUCUGUCUCCCAGGAGGAUGUGAGGUGGGACUGGGAUCAUCUGUUUACCGAGGUGUCCUCCGAACUGCUGAUGGAAUGGGAUCAAGGAGAAAAUGAGGAGCAGAACACAUAGCUACAUGAGUAAGGUGUUUGGCCUGAGAUUUAAAAUGGCUCCUGCGGGAUCGGGCACCACCCCACAUCAGGACCAGUGACUUUGACUCGAUGAACUUUCAGGUUGUCGCACAGUUCUGUAUUCAAUGCAUCGUCUUCAACACUCCUGUUCGGCAUUUCUUACAUUCACAUUAGUUCAAAACAAUAAAGUGUUUACUUACGGAUUUUAAAUGUCUGUCUGUCUGUCUGUCUGUCUGUCCGUCUUUCUUUCUGUCUGUCUGUCGCAAUUCUAUAAGCCUAUUUAUAUUAAUGUUAGGCCCGUAAAGAAGCAAGACUUACAUUUUUUUUAAUGUCUGACUCUAUAAUAUCUAACGCCUGAAGGUCAGGAGAUGUCUUUAGACCAUGUUUCUGUUCAUGCAUGAGACGGAAGAAACCCACCGUGCUCCUCAUUCUGUGCCGGCCUGCUGACUCCAAAAGCCAAGUGAGUCUAUAAGAGCCGCUGUCACAGAUAAAAAAUGCCCCCGUUGUACUUUGAGCAUUAUCGUCGCCCCAGUACAAGUCCAAGGUUGUUAAUCUGCUAAGCCGAAAUCCAGUUGAUUGUGUUCAAAUUAACAUUCCUCAUUAAAGCCCACAACCUUAUUGUUAUUGAGCGAGCCAUUGACUUUAUCUUCCAGCUCUUCGAUAGCAACAACACCUUCUUCACGAUUAUCUCAAACGCAGUGAACAGAUUUCCUAUUGACACUGGUGGGAUUAGCAUACAUUACACCUUUUACUGGAUAAAGGGGGGAAGGAUGCAAGUUCAGACAAAGACAGCGCUGAGAGAGAAAACUACAUUUGGGAAGAGCUACUUUGUUUUGGUGCCGAUCUGGAGAACUUUAGAAGAGAGUUUGUUUUUUAGCUGUUAGCGUGUAGCGUUAUCGCCGCACCACACUUCUUUGUGAGGCCAUUCUUGAAUUUUCCAUUGCUUCAAUGAGGUUAGGUUGCAAAGGCCCAGGACCUCUGUCUCUUCAGAAACCUGCUCUGACUCAGAGGAGGCUUGGUCUUAAGCCACAACAAAGAUGUGAAACUAGAGUGAAAGGGGCUGUAUUUUGAGAUGCUUCCUGGAUGUCUUCAUAGUGAGGCCUCUCUGUCUCCUGCCCCCAUGAUUGUCCUCAUGGGUUUGGUUUUGUGUUACUUAGAAGCCUCGAUUAAGAAAUCCAGAGAUGAUGAUCCAUCUGGAGAUGAGAGACCGAUGAUAGAAGACACUCUCAAUGUCACUCACCCUGGAUAGAGACCUCAUGGAAGGAUUAAAAAUGCCUACCGGGCUGUUCAAUCUGGCCGGUCUCAAUUCCUUCACACCUGACUUAAUGUCAUUUAUGAGAGUCAUUGUGUACCGUGGCCUGGACCCAUGCUGAUGCUGUGUAUCAGCAUUCAGUUGUGUCUCCAGUUCAUGCGUGCGAAUAUCAAUACUGGCCUCCGAUGUCUGCGCGCUCUGAUAGGAAAACAGUUGUAACAUUUGCGGAUUGAGAUGAGGUUGGUUUCGGGGGCCGGGGACAGUCUUGGAGGUGGUCGGUUAACUCCUCCUCAAGGACACGCAAUCGACAGCUCCAUCACAAAUACGUCCACAUCUGCAGCCUUGAAUCAACUCCCAUCAAGCUCCAGAUGAAGCUGAGCAUAAUGGUUAGCUAUCUUCGCUUCCCUCCGUCAGACGUACACACUUUUUGCCGCCUCCACAAUUGGCUCAUUUAGCCCGACUUAAUGAAUUCUGCCCAUAUGUCCAGAGCAGCUGCUGCGCUGCCCCUUCCCCUCGCCCCCGCCGAGCUGCGAAGUGCCCAUCCAUGUAGAGACAACCUCUAGCUGUCUCUCUGGAGAAGCCAGCGCCUGCCACUCUGGCACUGGCAGCCGGCCGGGGCUGUGUGAGGUGGGCUUCGGACGGGGCGAGGGCGCCGUGAUCCCGGCGUGUGGCUGGCCUCCGACGAUGGGCCUGGUUGAUCAGAGAGAGGAUUAAAGGGAGAGGCAGUCCGAGACGUUGUUUGGCAUGUGUUCACAUCCAGCUCCUCAAAGUGACCUCUCUGGCUGUUCGCUCUUUAUUCUCUCCGCGAGUCAUAUUUCAUACCGUAUAUUCCGACGCGUAGUUUGACCUCCCACAGUCUGGCAGCAGGAGAUCUGCUCGCAUCAAAACCACAACAGUAUAUACAUUAUUUCUCAGGACAGUUUUGCUGUGGUUAUGGCGCUAGCUCGCAGCAGAACACAGUGUCACGGGAAGGUGAAGCGAUUCCACUCGGUGCCGAGUCUAUCAGAUGUGAUGAUGCGGCCCUCUCGUUGGUUUAGAGUGUCAUUUGUUUUUCCUUGACGUUUUUCUAUUAAAAUAAUGGAGGCAUUACCGCGGCGGGUAUGCAUGACGCUCCGACGCGUGCUACUGUCGCCCGAUAUUUCACUGGAAAUGUUCCCGCGAUGACACAUGUGACACCAAACAGACUGAAGUGAACUUUUCUUGGGCAUUCCGGGCUUUGAAAACUUCACAGGCGUGUUUUAACUCCCUGAUCAAAGAAGCGGUGUGUUAAAAAUAUUACUGUGAUGAUAUCAUUAGAAUCAGAAAAACUUCUGUAUCUAGCUAUCUAUCUAUCUAUAAAUAUAUAUAUAUAUAUAUAUAAACAUAUAUAUAUAUAUAUAUAUAUAUAUAUAUAUAUAUGGUUGUUGUUUGUUGUAUCUUGAGUUGUUGUAUCUUGUUGUUUUGAUUGUUGUUGCGUUUUUUGGUAGUGACAGCUAUAAUAAAGACAUAAAGUAGUUGACUUCACUUUUUCCUGAGCAGUUUUCACGCAUUUCAUCAGGUCUGGCUGAUCUUAGCGGCAGCUAGCAUUUAGCAGGAAAGCCUCAUGCUAAUGGGAACACUUUGGCUUCUUUGUUCUGUUGUGUCUUCAUAUCACGAGUAAAAUAUUAGGGCAAACUAUGUAAACAUUUAUUCUGGUAACACUAAAAGGUACCACAGCACUUGUCUUGUCUAUGAAUAACUAUCUUCAGCUCAGUAAAUCUGGACAAAAAAAUGAUCUGGGUGGCAACUAUCCUCCGGCAAAGUUUCAGAUACAGGACUGACUUGUGUCUCAAACUAAACCCGAAGCUCAAAAGCACAUGUUCUGAAAUGGACCAUAGUUAUAGAAAACCUUGUUCAACCUCUGACCUCAUCAGUUAAGAUCUUGAAGCUCAAGUCCAGGUGCCAUCGUGAUGGCGUGGAUGAUGAAAACCUUCUCA